GAUGAACGCUAGCUAUAGGCUUAACACAUGCAAGUCGAGGGACGGGCGCACGGGAGAGUAACGCGUAUCAAACCUACCCAUAACUAAAGGAUAACCCAACGAAAGUUCGACUAAUACCUUAUGGUUAUGGAUGGGGAUGCGUCUGAUUAGCUUGUUGGCGAGGUAACGGCCCACCAAGGCAACGAUCAGUAGGGGUUCUGAGAGGCAGGUCCCCCACAGUGGAACUGAGACACGGUCCCCAACCGUACGCGAGGCAGCAGUGAGGUACAUGGGUGAAUGGACGCAAGUCUGAACAUGCCAAGUAUCGUGCAGGAGGCCUGCCUUUGGGUGUUCAACUGCUUGUAUAUGGGGAUAGGUACCAUAUGAAGAAGGACCGGCUAACUCCGUGCCAGCAGCCGCGGUAAUUC
rnacentral:rRNA from 1 species